CUAACUUUCUUCAUGUUUUUGUUCUUUCUUUGUUCUUGUUUGAUGGAAAUGGCGUGGUAUUUUAGUUCGUGUUCUUGACUGUUCAUUUAUCCCUUUAUAGAGAAAUGCCUUAAGAACAUUAGCAGACAGUUCAUUUUCGAAACAGUUCCUUCAUAUUUAGAACUUUAUUGUUAGGUCCCACGGGGUAUGGAAACCUCUGCCUAGCAGACGUGUUUUAAAGCCUUGAGGGGAAGCCCAGAAGUGAAAGGUCAAAUAGGAUAAUAUCGGUUAGCGGUGAGUUUGGGCUGUUACAAAUGGUAUCAGAGCCAGACACCGAGUGAUGUGCAAGUGAGGAGGUUGAAACCGAAGGGGUGAACACUAGGCAGUGUGCCAGCGAGGACGCUAAGCCACAAAGAGGGGUGGAUCGUGAGAUCCCA